CAGUUCACGCACGAUCACCGAAGUUAAGCCACGUCGAGCCUGGUCAGUACCUAGAUGGGUGAACGUUUGAGAAUACUAGAUGCUGUAAG